ensembl:lncRNA
CGUAGAUCAGACGCCCUUUCCGUAUCCGCGAUGUACAGAUGGGAAACGACUUAAUUAUGGAGAAGGGGAUCCUGGGUGUUGCGCAAUGUCAUGGGAGAGCAUACGGCAGAGGAAACCCUGGACAAGGUGCCAACCCGUCGCAGGACGCUUUAGAGAUGCCAAUCAGCCUACACCAUGUCUCUGGACAGGGGGAGGAAACCGGAGUACCUGGAGGAAACUCCGGAUGCACAGGGAGCAUGCAAACUCCAUCAUUUUUGAGAACAAGCGGCGUGUGCUGCAAGUGGCGGUGGAGGAGAUGAUUGUUUUGCUACACCUGUCCAAACGGAUAAAACUCUGUGUGUGGCUUCUGUGGAGCAGUGAGAGAUCUGCCUGCUGGAGAUGAAAGAGGAGAUGCAGGUAAGCUGUAACAUUUGUAUCUGUGUUUGGAUUUAAAUCCAAAGUGGGCAUCAGUGUAUGAAUAUGAUCUUCAUAGAAUUUGACCACCACCCUGAUCAGGGUGACUAGAUGGAUGGAUGAAUAAAGGAUUGGAUGGAUGGAUGGAUGAUUGAAUGAACGAACACGGUAAAUAGAGCCUUCAUUUGCAAGUACAAUCCACUUUGGUUGCCAUGAAAACUGAAUGCAAUCCUCAUGGCAGAAAGAAGGGAAAAGCUCAGAGAACUUGAGCUGAAGUUCAUGGUUGCCUUUAUGUUCCACUAAAAGGUUGAGCUCGAGAGGGUUUAAGAAAGAAAGCAGCUUUUCACUGAAACUUGAGCUAGCAAUCAGAAAAAGGCUGCAAAUGGCAUGAUUUACAUACAGUCAGGAACAAUAUUUUCCUCCAACUUAACCUACUUUAAUGCGAUGAUUUUGUUGACGGAGGAAAAUUCCGAGAAAUUUCAUUUUCUAACACCUACUCAGUAA